GGUUGUAACUCAGUGGUAGAAUGCUUGCCUUGCAUGUGUGAGGCCCUGGGUUCAAUUCUCAGCACCG
rnacentral:tRNA from 1 species